GUCCCCGUAGCUUACAGCCCAAAGCAUGGUACUGAAGAUGCCAAGAUGGUAUACAAUAUAAAACCCGGGGACA
rnacentral:tRNA from 1 species